CUGUCCGAGGGGCGCUGCAGCAGGUUUUCCCUGUCAGGCUCGGAUGGGGCGUUGUUUGCCAGGACGAUCCUCGACCGGCAAACCUUAAACGCACAACGGCGCCCAUUCGCA
rnacentral:ncRNA from 21 species